UAAGGAAUAUUGGUCAAUGGACGCAAGUCUGAACCAGCCAUGCCGCGUGAAGGAUGAAGGUCCUCUGGAUUGUAAACUUCUUUUAUCUGGGACGAAAACGGGAUUUUUAUCUCAAUUGACGGUACCAGAGGAAUAAGCACCGGCUAACUCCGUGCCAGCAGCCGCGGUAAUACGGAGGGUGCGAGCGUUAUCCGGAUUUACUGGGUUUAAAGGGUGCGUAGGUGGGCUUAUAAGUCAGUGGUGAAAUCUCCGAGCUUAACUUGGAAACUGCCGUUGAUACUAUAGGUCUUGAAUUAUCUGGAGGUAAGCGGAAUAUGUCAUGUAGCGGUGAAAUGCUUAGAUAUGACAUAGAACACCAAUUGCGAAGGCAGUUUACUACAUAUAAAUUGACGCUGAGGCACGAAAGCGUGGGGAUCAAACA
rnacentral:rRNA from 1 species